UGGCAACCACACUGACCAGGUCCAGGUGAGGCCAACCUGCAGGCCAUGCAGUGGAACCAUGUCCCGAUGAUGCCCAGGUAGGGACCAGAGUCACCAGGUCCAAAAGAGGCCCAGAUGGUGCAUAUUAACUAGGUCCAAGUGAGGCCCAGUUGAGGACCAGAGUCACCAGAUCUGGUUGAGGCCUAGAAGGGUACAGAAUCACCUGGUCCAGGUGACAUCCAGAUGGGGACCAGAGUCACCAGGUCAGGGUGAGGCCCAGAGAGGUUCCAGAGUCAUCAUGUUCAGGUGAGGCUCAGGUGUGGAACAGAGUCACCAGGUCCCAAUUAUGCCCAGGUGAGGAACAGAGUCACCAGGUCUGGGUGAUGCGCAAAUAGGAUCAGAGUCACCAGAUCUUGUUGAGGCCUAGAGGGGUACCAGAUUCACCAGGUCCAGGUGAGGCACAGGUGGUGACCAGUGUCCCCGUUCUGGGAUAGGACCAGGUAAGGACCAGAUUCCCCAGGUCCAAGAGGCCCACGUGGGGACCUGAGUCACCAGGUAUGGGUGAGGCCCAGGUGGCAAUAACACUCACCAGGUCCAGGUGAGGCCAACCUGCAGGCCAUGCAGUGGAAACAUAUCCCGAUGAUGCCCAGGUAGGGAGAAGAUUACCAGGUCCAGGUGAGGCCAACCUGCAUGCCAUGCAGUGGAAACAUAUCCAGAUAAUGCCCAGGUAGAGACCAGACUUACCAGGUCCAGGUGAGGCCAACCUGCAGGCCAUGCAGUGGCACCAUAUCCCGAUGAUGCCCAGGUAUGGACCAGAGUCACCAGGUCCAAAUGAGGCCCAGAUGGAGCAUAUUCACUAGGUACAGGUGAGUCCACUUUGAAGACCAGUGUCACCAGAUCUGUUAGAGGCCUAGGGGGUACCAGAAUCACCUUGUCCAUGUGACAUCCAGAUGGGGACCAGAGUCACUAGGUCAGGGUGAGGUCCAGAGCGGUUCCAGAGUCAACAUUUCCAGGUGAGUCUCAGGUGUGGUACAGAGUCACCAGAUACCAAUGAUGCCCAGGUGAGGCCAAGAAGGAGUCCACAGCAAUCAGGUCCCGGUAGUGAACAAAGUCACCAGGACUGGGUGAGGCCCAGAUGGCGACCAAAUUCACCAGGUCCAGGUGAUUCCCAGGUGGUGACCAGAGUUAUCAGUUCCGGGUGAGG
rnacentral:lncRNA from 12 species